AUGGGAGAGACUGAGAUGGAUUCGAUGCAGAUGGAUGCGGGGUCGACAAGCAAGGAUAGGGCGGUCGGGAAGAGGAAGAAAAGGGUACCUAGGAUUGGAAAGAAGGCAGAGGAACCGAGCGUGAGGAAGACGGUCAAGGAAACGCGUCGCCGGCCGCCGCCAGUAUACAAGGUCACAUUGCCUGUCUUUGAACGACAUCGCUUCGAGUUCAACAAAUGGUGGAUGCAAUUAUGGGGCGAUCUGAUCGGUUCCAUGGAGAAUAAAACAACUAUCCCCAGCGCGCGGUUCACGGAUGUUGCUUCCGGCAUGUCCUCCGGCUGCCCCGUCACCACUCUGCAGCCCUUUGAAGUCAAAAUCUCACCCAAAGAGAACUCAGGUUUAACCUGGCCGCUGCAUGUGUAUGGUUAUGUCGCCGCACGUGAUUUGGUGGAUUACAAGCGCAAUAUCAUCUUUGAGCGUGGAAGGGAUAACUGCCAGAUCAUCACUGACGGGUUUCCAUACCUAGCACUGACUGGUCCUGCACGUGCUGUUGUGCUGGAUGAUCCUGUGUACUUUGAGAUUGACCUCAAAGUGAAAGGAAUCGGGCAAUCUGAGGAUCAAGAUCUAAUCUUUGUUGCUGAUUCGUUCAGUAAUCCUCAGCCGCUUGAGUCAGCCCUGUUUAACCGUGCCUUCACGGGCAAGAUCAGCACGGUUGAGUUGACAUUUGGCCAAAUUAUUAAGUCAGUAGAGGCCGCAGUCAGUAUGAAAGUCGUCCAUGGGUCAUGGCCAGAUGGUUUCCGUGGUUGUUUUGCUGCAAAAACUGCCAGUAUAAAUGACUUCACAAUUGGGUUGCUUGUGAUCGGUGAUAAUGGGUUGCCUCGUGCUGACGAUGGCACUAUUAAGCUACAACGCCAUGUUGUUUGUGCUGAAAUUGGACAGGGAGACUACCUGGAAGUUUUUGUCCGUGCUUAUGGUGUUGGUGGGCAACAAUUAUAUGACACUAUAUAUUUUACACCUCAGGAACGUGGUAGACUCAAAGGUGCACUUAAUGUUGAUACAUGUGAGAUUGAGGUCACUAUAUCCUGGUCCCUUAUCAUGUCAUUCUAG
rnacentral:rRNA from 1 species